CCUACGGGAGGCAGCAGUAGGGAAUUGUUCGCAAUGGGCGCGAGCCUGACGACGCAACGCCGCGUGGAGGACGAAGAUCUUCGGGUUGUAAACUCCUGUCAAGCGGGAAGAACAGUGUGCGGGUUAAUACCCCGCAUGCCUGACGGUACCGCUGAAGGAAGCCCCGGCUAACUCCGUGCCAGCAGCCGCGGU
rnacentral:rRNA from 1 species